rnacentral:lncRNA from 1 species
AGGGAGAGAAUAUAGAAGACAUCCCAAAGGAAGUGCUGAUGGACUGUGCCCACCUUGUGAAGGCCAAUAGCAUUCAAGGUAAAAAUUGUGACAGUGGAGAAGAAAGUAAAUGAGAUCCUGAACCGAUUAGAAAAGACCAAAGUCGAGCGGUUCCCAGACCUAGCAGCAGAGAAAGAAUGCAGAGAUCGUGAAGAGAGGAAUGAGAAAAAAGCCCAAAUUCAGGAAAUGAAAAAGAGAGAAAAAGAAGAAAUGAAGAAGAAGAGGGAAAUGGAUGAACUUAGGUAUGUCGGAGCUGUGGCAUUGAGACUGACCUCAAAGAUUAUUCCCUGAUGAUUUUAAUCAUGUAUUAGCCAUUAAGAACGAUAUAUUGGUGGAAGGAGGGACAUGUAACAAGCUCAGCUUAAGCUCAACCUUAAAUCAGUUUUUUAAAAAAAGGCAUUUAUAUUAAUGUGUUGGUUAAAAGAAUUGCUUGUUUAUGGCA